rnacentral:rRNA from 1 species
CCAGCCUGCCGCGUGUGUGAAGAAGGUCUUCGGAUUGUAAAGCACUUUAAGUUAGGGAGGAAGGGCAGUUACCUAAUACGUAGAUUGUUUUGACGUUACCGACAGAAUAAGCACCGGCUAACUCUGUGCCAGCAGCCGCGGUAAUA